AUAACAACAAAAAUGCAGACUCUGUUUCUGAUCACCUGCCUUCUUGAAAUAACACUCCAAGCACCUACCACCCAACAGACCAGGGGCCAUGAACCAGCCAGUAUAGAGAUCUUUCUUCCUCAUGGAUACCAUGCCUCAGACAUCAGAAGGCUACUGCCUACAGCAGCGCAUGGCAAUCCAGUAGCAGGUGGACAAAUUGGCUUUCCAGGAUAUGCCAGCAUAGAAUAUCUGGUGCCUGUUGGAGACCCUGCCCAACAUUCUGGGAUUCCUGCUCAUCUUCAUCAUAUGUUUCCCCCCCAAGCAUAUGUCAAACAGAAGCACCUGCAUCCCUCUCACAGAGUCAGCCAAGAGACU